CCUUUUCAUAAUAUUUUACAAUAGAUAUCUGUAUAAUUCGCACUGUAUCGUCUUUAUAGAACCUCGAUGAAAACAAUGCUUCUAAAAAUACUUAAAAAAGCCAUUUUUAAAAUUGUAUUUCGGAUAGAUCUGAACGAAAUGAAAGGUUGUUGGUUAGUAAUGUAAUUUUGGAGCAAUAACGCUUCUAUUGUUUUAUUCGCGUAACGUAACCCUCGAAUGCAUUGUAGCCAAUUAAGUUUGUAUUAGAAAUAAAUAUGAAUAAUGUUUCUUCCUAGAAUUCAGAUGUCAAAUUUUAUUAUCUAUGAAAUUGUACUGCCCUCAUUUUAUAGUAAAAUAUGUACUUACCUUUAGUACCAUUACAUUAGAUGGAGACGAGUAUAAAAUUAAGAGCCUUAUCACACUGGCGAUUUGCAGCAGAGAGACAGCAAUAAUUUUGCCGCGAGCGCGCUAGUGUGAUGGGGCUCUAAGCGCCGCUUGCACCAUCCUACUAACCCAGGGUUAAGCCGAUAACCCAGUGUCAAAUUGUACUGGUAACCAGUGGCGUACCGUGAACGAAUCUAGCCGUGGGCGAAAUCACAUCUGCGAGGGCCUUCUCUUUUACUGUGUCCGAAAGGGCCUCGCGCGAGGCCCCCCUUGGGGCGCGAGGCCGUGGGCGACGGCCCCCCUUCGCCCACGCCUAGCUACGCCACUGAUGGUAACUCUAGGUUUAACCGGUUAACCCCGGGUUAGUGAAUGGUGCAAGUGGCCCUUAGUCUGCUAAUCUUUGUGAAAAGUUCAUCUCUGCCCGAUGGCGCCACUUUAACCCUCGCUAUAGAAGCCACUGGUGUCAUCAAUUACCUACAAAAAGUAUGAGAUGUUCUUGCUUGCUACAUCGAUUAGUAGUCGAUAUUAUUUCCUUGUCUCUCAAUUAGCCUAGAGUUGCCUUUGUCACUGUCCAGAAUUGUGCAAUUAUUACAUGUUUAUAGGUCUAUAAAAUAUAUAAAUUCAUGGAAUCAUUGUGUAAAUUCGAAUAUCAAAACACAUUCAUAAUGGUUUCCAUUUAUGCCAUAAAAGGCGGUCACUGACGAAAAUACCGUACACGGCGGUAAGAAGUUGAUAUCUGGCGGGAAAAAAAUGAAGAAAUUUGAACCUUAUGUAAUUUAAUUUUAAGUUCAAAUUUCUUCAGUAGAAUAUCUCGAGUUAUCAACUUCUUCCCGCCGUGUACGGUUUAUGGAGGUUUACAGACGUAGCCAUUUGUGACUUUAGCAGCAUCGAAUGGCCGUUGACGUUGCAAGUGGCAGCGUCAACAGCGUCAAAUGCAGCGGAUUUGCUUGGAGCGUUCAUUUUGGCUACCUUUCCACUGAGUAGGAGGAGGAGAUGAUUGGAGAAUCAACCAAUAGCACGUAUCGUUUCGUCUCCUCUCAUCUUCGCCUCAGUGGAAUGGCAGCCUUAGGCAAAUUUGGCCUACUACAUACGUCAACAAAUUUAACAACAAUUUGCAUGGUGACAAAAUUGUUACAUCUGUACAUUUCUCAUAUUAUGUUUUAGGAUCUGAUCAUAAAUGCAUAUUUCCGUAAUAGUUCAAAAGUUUUUUGCUGAUAUAAUAUCAUAGUUACGUAUAAAAUAUCAAAAAAAUACCUGCAACUAAAAAAUCAGUCAUUACAUUAUGUUGCAGUAAAAGUCAUCUGUUAUUUUUUUGUAGAAUUUACUAUGUAUGUUUUAAUUUAAGGAUCUAUUAUGAAUUAUGAUGUAAAAAGAUAUAUUGUGAUAAUAAAUCAAACAACGGAAUUGGGAAAUAAAUAAUGUUAAAAUUGUAUUUUUAUGCACACAAUAAUAAUUAUAGUUAAUAUUGUUAACGCACUUCCUAUUGUAACUUUGAGAAGUACACGUAGGUACCUACUUUAUUUAGUCCUUGUAAUUAGAGAAAUGUAUUAUUGUAUUUUUAAGUUAUUUAAUCAGUACAAACGGUACCUAAAGUCAUAACUCCACUAGUUUUCUGGUAUCGGUUUAGAAAUAUGCAGGCCAUGCACUACUCGUGCAAUAAUAAUAUUGUUUAAUUUUAUACCCAUGAGUGGUUAAAAUAAAGCAAAGAGUUAGUUUUUGUAGAAGAAUAAAGUCUAUGACAAAUUGAUGCUUCGAACUUGGCAGCUGAAGCAGGGCUAUAACCGCGAAAAUCGAAGUUCGUCAAUUGCGGGCAUUUUUCUCCGUCCGUUUUCGCGGUAGGUAGAUGUGGCUGUACGGCUCUUUACACGCGAUUUAGGCGGUAACUCUAGUUGCCACAAAACUUAUCUCAACCUCGGGACACAGUUUUUUCUUUAACUUAUAACUCUUCUAUAAUCAAUAAUUCUUUGCUUAUAGUAUAAGAGGUCUCCAAUAUUUGGUUGAUAUCCAAUAAUAUAUGUAUCCAAAAACUGCAUUUAUAAUUAACAUUUUCUUUUUAUUAGACCUCUCAAGUACCACCUGUGUAAUUUUUUUGACAUGUUUGACAAUAAAAUUAUUAUACUAUACUAGUAUUAUUAGGUAGUCUCGGACUAUUUAAAUCUGUAAUAUAUAAUAAAUAAACAGUUCUUGUGAUUGUGUUGUAUUUCAGUAAACCAAAAUGCUGUUA